GGAUAGCUCAGUCGGUAGAGCACUAGACUCCUAAUCUCAGGGACGUGGGUUUCAGCCCAUAUUGGCCA